rnacentral:rRNA from 1 species
AUGCACCAAGAGGUGGUCACCAAGAUCUCUCUGCCGGGGCUGCGGCUGCAGGGGGAGCUCGACGCCCUCAACUUCACGGCGUUGGCGACCUUGACGAGCAUCCAGCUCUCGCGCAACAGGCUCACCGGGAGGAUCCCGUCGAGCAUCGGGUCACUCAGAGAGCUCCGGUUCCUGCUUCUUCAACGCAAUCAGAUAAGGGGCCCUUUACCACCUGCUCUUGCAUCCUUGAGAAACCUACGCUGCUUAAUGCUCCAGGAGAAUGAACUCUCCGGUGAAAUACCAAGCCAAAUAGGACAACUAGCGGGACUUGUGAAGCUGGACUUGUCUGCCAAUCACUUGUCUGGUCCCAUCCCGACUGAACUAGGCUACCUAAAGAAGCUGCUCAGGGUACAUAUUGCCAACAACAACCUCACAGGCCCCAUUCCAAGUAAUUUAGGGAAUCUCACUAAACUCACUGUCUUGUACCUUUAUGGUAACCAAUUAUCUGGAUAUCCUCCUCGAGAGCUAGGGUACCUUGUGAAUCUAAAGGAGUUGGUUCUCUCCCGCAACAAAUUGAUGGGUUUCAUCCCCGGUACCUUGGGAGGCAUGAUCAACCUCACACUCUUGUCCCUAGCGGAUAACCAACUUUCCGGAUGCAUUCCUCCAGAGCUAGGUUACUUGUUGAAUCUAAAAGAGUUGUACCUUGAAAACAACAAACUUGUUGAUUCCAUCCCUAGUACCUUCUUAAAUUUAACAAACCUCACUAGCUUGUACCUAUCGGGUAACCAACUUUCUGGGUGUAUACCUCGAGAACUAGGUUACAUGGUGAAUCUUAAAAAGUUGGCUCUUAGCUCCAACAAUUUCAACGGCUCCAUACCUAAUACCUUUGGGAGUUUGGUUAACCUCACUGAAUUGUAUCUAUGGGGCAAUACACUUUCCGGGUGUAUUCCUCGUGAACUAGGUUACCUAGUGAAUCUUGAAGGGUUGGAUCUUAGUGUAAACAAACUAAUGUGUACUAUUCCCAAUAACUUUGGCAGUUUCAGUAACCUAACUAUCCUGGUCCUUCGUGAUAACCAACUCACGGGUUAUAUCCCCAAUAUCUUUGGAAAUUUGACAAAGCUCACUACCUUACACCUCGAUGAUAAUCAGUUCUCUGGACAUGUUCCUCUAGAAAUUGGCACCUUAUGGGAUCUUGAAGUUCUGGAACUCGACAAUAAUAAUCUCUCUGGUCCCCUACCACCUGGGUUGUGCUCUGGAGGCAAGCUCAGGCAUUUAACUGCAUCUAAUAACAGUCUGGAUGGACCAGUGCCAUCAAGUUUGCUACACUGUAGAAGCCUAUUUAGAGUUCGUCUUGAAAGGAAUCAAAUAGAAGGAGAUAUUUCUGAGUUGGGAGGUCAUCCAAGUCUUAACUAUAUGGAUAUGAGCUCGAAUAAACUCUUUGGAAAAUUAUGUUCUCUUUGGGGGGAAAGUCAAAAUAUUAACAUGCUACGCCUCUCAAACAACAACCUGACGGGGGAAAUACCCAUAAAUAUGGGGCGGCUAACUCAGCUAGGGAUACUUGAUCUCUCAUCAAACAAGCUUGAAGGAUAUAUUCCAAUUGAACUGAGCAAUCUAAAAAACUUGUUCCAGUUGAACCUCGCAGACAAUUUGCUCCAUGGAAGCAUACCACAAGAAAUCGGAGCACUAUCUAGUCUACAGUUAUUUGAUUUGUCAUCAAAUAACCUAAGUGGUUUGGUACAUGGGUCAAUUGGGAAUUGUUUAGAGCUUCGCUCAUUGAACCUGAGCGGAAAUAACUUUACAGGAAACAUCCCUACCGCAUUAGGGGUGUUGCACAACUUACAAUACAUGUUGGAUUUGAGUGAUAAUUCAUUUACUGGGGCAAUACCAAGCCAACUUAGUGGCCUGAUCAUGCUAGAUACUUUGAAUCUUUCACACAAUGAACUUAAUGGAUCCAUCCCUCAAUCAUUUAAGAGUAUGGAAAGCUUGAUAUCCAUUGAUGUAUCUUACAAUGAAUUGGAAGGAGUAGUCCCAGAGAGUAAGCUUUUUCAAGGAGCCCCGUUGAAGUGGUUCAUGCAUAAUAAGAUGCUAUGUGGUGUAGUGACCGGACUCCCCCAUUGUAGUAGUACAACUGUGAACCAAGGGAAAAGAAAAGGAUACAAAACACUUGUACUAGCAGUGGUCCCUGUGCUGAUGUCUCUUGUUCUUGUUGUAUUUGUAUUGAUGUUUCAACAUGAAAGGAACAAAUCCAAGGCAAUUGACACGGACAAAGUAACACAAAAAAAUGUGUUCUCUAUUUGGAGUUUUGAUGGGGCAAACGUGUUCAAACAAAUUGUUGAAGCAACCAAUGAUUUUAGUGAGAUUCAUUGCAUAGGAACUGGGGGAUAUGGAUCUGUCUACAAGGCUAGGCUUCCAACAUCAGAAAUAUUUGCGGUGAAGAAGAUGUGCGUUAUUGAAGAUGAGAGUUGCGCGAAGGGGUCACUCUUCCAUCGCGAAAUUGAGGCAUUGGUGCAGAUUCGGCAUCGGAACAUCGUAAAGCUAUUUGGGUAUUGUUCCUGUAGCCAAGGAAAGUUCCUUAUAUAUGAAUAUAUGGAGAGAGGGGACUUGGCAGAAGCACUGGGGAUCAAUGGAAGGGCAGUUGAAUUGGACUGGAGAAGGCGGAUACAUAUUGUGCUAGAUGUGGUUCACGCUUUGGCCUACAUGCAUCAUGAUUGUUGGUCACCAAUAGUCCACAGAGAUAUAACAAGUAAAAACAUUUUGCUUGAUCAGGAAUUUAGAGCUUGCAUCUCUGAUUUCGGUACGGCUAAAAUUCUAAAUAUUGAUGGCAAUAAUAUCACAAGGCUUGCAGGGACAAAGGGUUAUCUUGCCCCAGAGCUUGCAUAUACAGAAAAUGUGACAGAGAAAUGUGACGUAUACAGCUUUGGGGUGCUUGUCAUGGAGCUCUUUAUGGGAUCUCAUCCAGGCGAAUUGCUCUCAUCCCUCUCUGAGGCCAACAAGAAUAAUACUGCGAGCCUGCAACAUCUGCUGGACUCAAGGCUCGAGCUCCCAGAUGCUGAAACCGCGGGAGAAAUAUACCACAUGCUCAGUGUUGCAGUUCAGUGCCUGGAGCCAAGUCCAUCACGGAGACCCACAACACGACGUGCUAGUGACGAGUUAUCUGCUAGUAAGGCAUUUGAAGAUCAUGUUCAUUAUCUGCAUGCUGGCCUCACCAUUCCCACUCACUAG